rnacentral:rRNA from 1 species
UAUGAACGCUGGCGGCGUGCCUAACACAUGCAAGUCGAGCGAAGCACCUUACUUGAUUUCUUCGGGAUGAAAGUAUUGUGACUGAGCGGGCGUACGGGUGAAGGUACGCGUGGAUAACCUGCUCAUACAGGGGGAUAACAGUUAGAAAUGACUGCUAAUACCGCAUAAGACCACAGCACCGCAUGGUGCAGGGGGUAAAAACUCCGGUGGUAUGAGAUGGAUCCGCGUCUGAUUAGCUAGUUGGUAAGGUAACGGCUUACCAAGGCAACGAUCAGUAGCCGACCUGAGAGGGUGACCGGCAACAUUGGGACUGAGACACGGCCCAA